GUAGGUGGCGAGCGUUGUCCGGAAUUAUGGGCGUAAAGCGCGCGCAGGCGGGGGGUUUUUAAGUCUGAUGUGAAAGCCCACGGGCUCAACCGUGGAGGGUCAUUGGAAACUGGGGAACUUGAGUACAGAAGAGGAAAGCGGAAUUCCACGUGUAGCGGUGAAAUGCGUAGAGAUGUGGAGGAACACCAGUGGCGAAGGCGGCUUUCUGGUCUGUAACUGACGCUGAGGCGCGAAAGCGUGGGGAGCAAACAGGAUUAGAUACCCUGGUAGUCCACGCCGUAAACGAUGAGUGCUAAGUGUUAGGGGGUUUCCGCCCCUUAGUGCUGCAGCUAACGCAUUAAGCACUCCGCCUGGGGAGUACGGCCGCAAAGGCUG
rnacentral:rRNA from 1 species